UUCUGUGUGUGUUUGCAUCUUGUUUGUUAUCGCGCACUCUGGGCGGUGUUAGAUUUUGCGUGGGAAGAAAAACCCGUUGGCAGACAAGAAAAACACACCCCUAUGAGCGCGUGUGUUCCGAUGACGCGUCAAACGUCGCUCGAGAUCCAUCGUGCACGCUAGGCGCACAAAUUAAACAAGUCCCAAGAACUGCAGGAAACGAAAUGACCAAGUAAACCUUGCCACGACGAAAUUGGAUUUAUUUAAUAUAUACUUUAUAUUGUUUUUUUGCGUCCAAACGAAGAGGAUUAUGACUAUAAAAGUGGACUUUGAGGAGUGUUUGAAAGAUUCCCCACGCUUCAGAGCGGAAAUUGAAGCCGUCCAAGCUGAUGUGGGUGAACUCGAGACCCGAUUAGACAAGCUGGUGAAACAAUGCCAGGCCAUGCUGGAGGCCGGCCGAGUCUACCAGCAGACCAGCAAGAGCUUUGUGACGGGCCUCCAGAGUCUGGGACAGCACUGCUCCGGGGACACCACCAUGGAGGAAUGCUUGCAGAAAUUUUCCCAAAAACUCUCCGUCAUCUUGGACGCGCAGGGGGAGGUGAUUGACAUCACGCAGAAGUCGGUCAAGACGAAGCUCCAGACAUUUGUCAAAGAAGACGUGCGGCGCUUCAAGGACGCGCGCAAGGAGUUUGAGCGUAGCAGCGAGUCCCUGGAGGGGGCGCUAGCCAGGAACGCUCAGGCGCCUCGCGGGAAGCCUCACGAGGUGGAGGAGGCCAGCGGCGCGCUGCUCAACGCCCGCCGGGCCUUCCGAUCGGGCGCCCUCGACUACGUCCUGGAGAUUAACAUCAUCGAGGCCAAAAAGAAGACGGAACUGUUGAUGGCCAUGUUGUCGCUAAUGGACGCUCAGGCCCAGCUGUUCCAGAAUGGCUACCAGUCCUUGGCAGAACUGGACCAUUAUCGGCAAAAACUAAGCGAAGAGCAUCGGCAGUUUGUCCUGAAUUCAGCCCGAGAGAAGAGGGACAUGGAGCAAAGGCACGCCGCCAUCAAGAAAAAGGAUGUUUCCUACGACGACUCCAUCAUGGACUUCAAACCGGACGCCGCCGACGGAGUUGCCAUGGAAGGCUACCUCUACAAACGGGCCAGCAACGCCUUCAAGACAUGGAACAGGCGUUGGUUCUCCAUUCAGAAGAAUCAGCUGGUGUAUCAGAAGAAAUUCAAGGACCAGCCCACGGUGGUGGUGGAGGACUUGCGUCUGUGCACGGUCAAGCCCAACGGCGAGAGCGAGCGGCGCUUCUGUUUGGAAGUGGUCUCCCCGUCCAAAAGCUGUCUGUUACAGGCCGACUCGGAGAGGCAGCAGCAGACGUGGAUCGGCGCCGUGCAGAACAGCAUCGCCUCGGCCUACCACGAGCGCAGGGAGCUCCAACGCAGUCCGCGGCAGCGCCGUAGCUCGGUGUCGACGGGGAACCCCGCCGACGGCGAAGGGGACGAGGGCUUCAAGGCCUUGGAGGAGGUCCGGGCCAUUGGCGGGAACGGCGAGUGCUGCGACUGCGCCGCGCCGGAUCCCGACUGGGCUUCCAUCAACCUCGGCAUCACUCUGUGCAUCGUGUGCUCGGGCAUACACAGGAGCCUGGGGGUCCACUUCUCCAAAGUGCGCUCCCUCACGCUGGACUCGUGGGAGCCAGAACUCAUUAAGCUGAUGUGCGAAUUGGGCAACGGCGUCAUCAACGGCAUCUACGAGGCCCGGAUUGACCAGAUCACCUUGAAGAAGCCCCUCGCUUCCAGUCCCAGGGGGGACAAGGAGGCCUGGAUCCGCUCCAAAUACGUGGACAAGAAGUUCAUCCAAAAGCUGCCGGAGACGGGUCAGAACACGUGGCAGAAGCGUCCGAGCGAUAAAAGGAACAGGGCGGCCACGCAAGACCGCAGCGCGCAGCGACCGCCGCUCAAACCCAAACCGAGCCGAGCCACCCUGCCGCGAUCGGCGUCGAGCCCGAUUGAGGUCCAAGAGCACGACAUGGGGUCCCGCAGAGAUGCCAAUGACGAAGAGGAGGAUCUGAGCGGCCUUCAUUCCGGGGCGCUGCUGUACCGCGCGGCCGCCCUGCAGAACUUCCCCGUCAUGGCCGACGCGUUGGCCCACAGCGCCAACGUCAACUGGGUCAACGCGGCCGAGGAGGCCCGCACGCCGCUGAUCCAGGCCGUCUCGGUGAAUGCUCUGGCGGCGUGCGAAUUCCUGCUGCAGAACGGCGCUGACGUCAACCAGGCGGACAGAAAUGGGAGAGGUCCGCUUCACCACGCCACCAUAUUGGGUCACACCGGGCUGGUGUGCCUCUUCCUGAAACGAGGCGCGGACUACAACGCCAGAGACAAAAGCCAAAAGGACCCCAUAACCAUCGCCGUGGACAACGCCAACGCCGACAUUGUCACUUUACUCCGAAUCGCCAAGAUGAACAGGGAGAUGCAGGAGCUGGAUGGAUCCCUCGGAAAAUCAGGUCUCUCCAAGGGGCAGGCGCCGGCUGGGGGCACCGGGGCAGGGAGCGGGCAGGUCCAAUCCAGGAAGAGCCUCCAGGCUUUCAAGAACCAUAUAAGCGGGAGCACAAAAUGAGUAGUUCUGACAGAAAGGGGCUUUUGUUUUUUGUUUUUUUUCCUUCACACUGCUUUUGCAGUGUCACCUUUUUUUUUUACUCUGCGUAUUUAUACUGUUGCAAAUGUCAUUGGAGAUGGCGUGUAAAGGGAACUCCGCCUUCUUAGGCAAAGCGUGAAAAUCCAGUUUCUCGCUCAGAAUCCAUGACGACGGUACACCAAAGAGUCUUCUAUGAUCACCAUUCCUUCUUCCACUUAAGCGUGUGGCUCUUUGAAAGGGCCAAAAUGUCAAAACACUGUGAAAAUGGAAUGAAACAGGAAGCAUGCUUACUUUUGUGUUGCAGCCUUUGUGCUCAAGCGUUGUGUUUUUGCUUUGCAGGCUUGCUUCUUGUAACCUGGUUUUGUGUGUGCUUGUUUAAAAACUAAAACAAAGAGACCCUGGCGGUCAGCAUUUGUGACUUUGUGUGUCUUUGCACGCUUCUAGUCUCACCCGUUUGUGCAGCGUGCCACCUGCCGUAAACUACCAGGUGACGAAACUUACCAGCACAUCUUCAGAGACUUCUCGCACAUGGCUUCUAACAACCCAGAGAAGCUCAAGCGUCGCAGCACCGACGGCAAAUUCUAAAAGAAAAAAAUAUUUAGGGCAAAUGCUUGCUUCUGUCUUGUCGCCAAGGGGUAUAUUUUGGAAUAAUUCGAUUUGAAAAUGUUGAAACUUCUUCGGACAGAAUUGUCUCUUGUCCAACAAAUGCAGAUCAAAUAAAUGCAUUUUAUUGUCCUUGCUAGUUUACACUGCGGCGUUGACAAGGUGAACUUGAUGGUGAACUUGUCCGUCUGUGAUUUAUAAGUUUUGAUGGCCAAGUACACGCCAGUGGGUGUGCUUUGCGCCCAGGAUGCCCUUCAAGUCCUUUGUCGAUUGUUUGUUCGAUUUCUUUGUAUCUUGGCAUGUGAAAAAAUUGACAAUAAAACAGACUUUGCAUUUGAAGUCCGAGGCAAAAACAAAUCAAGAAA